rnacentral:lncRNA from 1 species
AAACUGUCGUUUCUAGUCUCCUCUUGCUAACUUUAAUUAAUAAAGAUUUGACCGACAGUUUCUAAAGCAAGUGGCAAAGAGCUUGAUACUUGGUAUUCGAGACCCAAGUUUGAAUUCUAAUUGAAUUAUAUUUCCAGCUAAAUUUAUUUCUAAAUGUAAUAAAUGAAACGGAUAACGUGCUACCCCCCCUCUCUCUCUCUCUCUCUCUCUCUCUCUCUCUC